AUUGAACGCUGGCGGUAUGCUUAACACAUGCAAGUCGAACGAGUGGCGGACUGGUGAGUAAUGCAUAGGAAUCUACCUUUUAGUCUAGGAUAACUACCCGAAAGAGUGGCUAAUACUGGAUGCUAAGAGCUUAGCCUAUGUGGGAUUAGCUAGGUGGUGGGGUAAUGGUUCACCAAGGCGACGAUCUCUAGCUGGUUUGAGAGAAUGGUAAGCCACACUGGGAAUGAGACACGGCCCAGACUCCGACGGGAGGCAGCAGUGGGGAAUAUUGGACAAUGGGCGAAAGCCUGAUCUAGCAAUACCGCGUGUGUGAAGAAGGCCCUAGGGUUGUAAAGAACUUUUGUUAGGGAGAUGUUACCUAAAGAAUAAGCACCGGCUAACUCCGUGCCAGCCGCCGCGGUAAUAC
rnacentral:rRNA from 1 species